UACCCGGCAGCUUGACAUUACCUUUAGAAGAAGCACCGGCUAACUCCGUGCCAGCAGCCGCGGUAAUACGGAGGGUGCAAGCGUUAAUCGGAAUUACUGGGCGUAAAGCGUGCGUAGGCGGUUCGUUAAGUCAGAUGUGAAAGCCCCGGGCUUAACCUGGGAACUGCAUUUGAAACUGGCGGACUUGAGUUGAGUAGAGGGGAGUGGAAUUUCAGGUGUAGCGGUGAAAUGCGUAGAUAUCUGAAGGAACACCAGUGGCGAAGGCGACUCCCUGGACUCAAACUGACGCUGAGGUACGAAAGCGUGGGUAGCAAACAGGAUUAGAUACCCUGGUAGUCCACGCUGUAAACGAUGUCAACUAGCCGUUGGUCCUAUUUACAGGAUUAGUGGCGCAGCUAACGCAUUAAGUUGACCGCCUGGGGAGUACGGCCGCAAGGUUAAAAACUCAAAUGAAUUGACGG
rnacentral:rRNA from 1 species